rnacentral:miRNA from 1 species
AAGGGUGAUCAGCUAGCAUGGUUUGCUUGAUAUUGAAGGAUUUUUCCAAGAUAAAAGAUUUUUAGUACUAAACACAGGACAGUCCCUGACAAACCAGGGUGGUUGGUCACCUAGUUUACCC